rnacentral:lncRNA from 1 species
AGCCAGCCAACAUAAAAGAAUGGACAACAACAUGUGUUCUGGGAAAAUGCGUUGUUCCAAAGAUUCUUUUUUUUUUCAGGUUGCCCUUAUGAAAGUUAACCAUGGUGUUUUUAUCCUAGAUUUUUAGUGGUUUUAUAUAUUUUUUUUUUUUGCUAUGUUGUUCCAAAGGAUUGACUGUGCUUUACUGUGCAGGACUAUGACUAAAACAAGGUCAAGAGCAAUUGCUGGCGGCUCCGCUCGGCAUGCAUCAUGGUGCGAGGGGCAGGCCUCAUCGCCGCCGCUCUGUCGCUCUCAUUUAUUACCCAGUUUGUUUGCACUCUUAUCCACGGCCUUGCUCGGCCGCCCCAUCCAUCACCGGCACAUCCGCUGCCUGAGCCAUCUCCCCGCUCGGGCCCAGGCUGUCUUCGCGGGACCCCUGCCUCUGCCACAACAGCGCCCUCUGCUGUCAGGCCCCCCGGCGGCUUGUUUUUGCCGCAUUCUCUGGGAAGUGCAGUACAUGUCUCGCGGAAUUCGUCUUUUAUAAAAUAACCUCCCCAAAGUGUCCUUUUGGCACAUCCCUGUAGGUUUAUGUCAAUAAAUCCGAAUUGCUUCACAAUUCUUCCUCGGAUUUACCGUGGUUAUACUGUGAAUUGACUUCAUUUUGCCAUGCAUUCCCACACCACACUCUGCUUUGCUAGAAUUUAACCGUUUUUUAAUUCGCUUUGCUAUUUCUAGCUAAUGUUAUUCCAUGUUAAACACCUGUGAGCGUUGUCUUCUGCAAUAAACACAUACAGAAGGUGACUCUCGGCAUCAGAAAAUCUGAAUUUUGAUUCUGUAUUGUUUCAUAGCUCUCUUAUGUUUUCAACACAUAUCCUAACACCACUGAAACCGCAGUUCCUAAAAGCACUUCACUCCUGUGAAAGGAAAAUUGACUGUUUUCCCAUUCUGGAAGACACUGAGAUUACACGUGGCUUGGAAUUGUUUUGCCCUCGUAAUUUUGAAUCCUUAUAUGUUCUUACAAUUCACACUGUCCUAUACAGAGCUUUAUAGCUGCCAGCACGCACAAGCCUAUAUAUUCCGGUUCCGGUUUUGUCACUGUAUUUAGUAUUAUAAAUGUUGAAUGGGAUAUACCAAGGUAAAGACAUAGUAAUAUGCAGUAAAAAAAAC